rnacentral:rRNA from 1 species
CGCCUGCAUGCGCUUUACGCCCAGUAAUUCCGAACAACGCUUGCCCCCUUCGUAUUACCGCGGCUGCUGGCACGAAGUUAGCCGGGGCUUCUUCUCCGGGUACCGUCAUUAUCUUCACCGGUGAAAGAGCUUUACAAUCCUAAGACCUUCAUCACUCACGCGGCAUGGCUGGAUCAUGCUUGCCCCCAUUGGCCAAUAUUCCCCACUGCUGCCUCCCGUAAGAUUUUGGGCCGCGGCUCACCCCCAGAGUGGGGGAUCAUCCUCUCACACCAGGUAUGGAUCGUCCCCUUGGUAGGCCUUUACCCCACCAACUAUGUAAUCCAACGCGGGCUCAUCCUACCCCGACCAAUCUUUCCCCCGCAGGGCGUAUACGGUAUUAAUUCC